rnacentral:lncRNA from 1 species
UCACUUUUCUUCAUUUCUUCAAAGUAUGGACGAUUUUUGGGGAGCUUCAAGAGGGGAUUUUCAUCAUAAAUGUGAAGGUAAGUUAUCCCCACCUAUUUUGAGUUAAGUACAUCAAUUAUGUAUGGAUUUGAGCAUGAAAAUUGUAGAAAAAUUGAGGAUUUAGGCCUAGGGAUUUGAAAAUAAGAUUUGGUGAUUUGAGGGGUCAAAUGAACUUCGAUUUUGGUAAAUUUUAUAUGUACGGACUCGUGGUGAGACGAGGAAUCCGGUGAUAUGACUUUCGUAAUUUUUUGAGAAGUGGGCCCAGGGCUCGGGUUUUGCGAAUUUCGUGAUUUUCGAUAUUUUUCGAGUCUUUUCGAUUGGGUUAUAUUCCCUUAGCCUAUUGUAAUAUAUUCCUUGUGGUUUUGGAAAGAUUCGACGCGUGAGGAGGUCGAUUCGAAAGGAAAGGGCAUCACGGAGUAGACUUUUGGCCAUCUUGAGGUGAGUAAUAGAUGUAAAUGUUGUUCUGAGGGUUUGAAACCCCGGACUUUCACAUCGUAACGCUAUAUUGAGGCGUGACACGCACUCCAUGGCGAGUGCGGGGUCGGAUAUGGUGAUUGUGACUUGGUCCAUCCCGUGUGAUGUUUAUACUAUACUGGUGAUUGAUACACAUAAUUCAUUGAUAUUACUGGGCUUGAUGCAAUGUUUGGG